GCUGGAGUGUCGGUUGGAGUAGUGCAGCUCUCAGAGAGAGGUUUCCUCAGCCAGCAGAGCUGAAAAUAAGCAAUAACUCUCUGCAAAGUGCUGAGGAAGAGCUGGAGGUGUGAGUGAGGUCUGUGGAUGUGCAGCCAGCAGUGGCCCUGCCGAGGUGGAGCCUUCAGGGGCUGAACGCAGGCUCUGUGUUGGUGGAUGAAGACCUUGCAGUCGCUUCUGAAGGAAGCAAAGCUCAUGUGGUACCUCUGGGUUUCUCCAUCUCCUGCUGCCACACUCUGUGUUGCACUAAGAAAAAGCAAGUCAAGCCUCAGCUGCUUCUCCAAACAUCCGGUUCAAGGUGUCAGAGCUUUGAUCUGCAGUGACACCAGCUCUGGCUCGAGUGCCUAGUGACAGGGCCUUUGAACACAGGUGACUUCAAAACACCUUUUAGUUGCUCCCCUCUCCUUUGAGAACUGCUGGGGUUAACUUGAGAGCAAAGAGUGUGCAUAAUGUUGGCACUUCAGGAGGCCUAGAGUAGUCUGAAUGUAUGCCAGGGAGAUAGCACUGGCCUGGGCAGUGCUCAGCUGAUGGUUUCUGAAGCAAUGUGUCUGCUCUGAUAAGCAGAAAGGAUUGUCUGCUAGGGGUGAAGCUACUGAACAGGAGGAGGUUGUGAUAGCUGGGAACUCAAACUGGGCACCUCAGCUCUUAAGUAACAAGAA